rnacentral:tRNA from 1 species
GCCUUCGUGGUGUAGAGGUCAGCACGCUGGGCGCGUAUUCCAGAGGUCCGUGGUUCGAGUCCCGGCGAAGGCG